AUUUUCGGGGAUUUCAGGUUCACACGCGAGCGGCGCGACAGCGUGAGGAAAGGACGUAUCUCCGUAGAUAGCGCCCUACCACCGAGUUCAGAGAUAGCAAUAUCCUAAGUCGGCUUAGCUAGGGGUAUAGAAAGGAAAAGAACAAAGUUGUAAUAAUUUAGUAACUUAACUGUAUUCGGAAGUUAAUGUAAUGUAUAAUGAUAACUGAGAUGAAUGCUUGUAAUAGUUUAGCAUUUAUG
rnacentral:lncRNA from 1 species